rnacentral:rRNA from 1 species
GAUGAACGCUGGCGGCGUGCUUAACACAUGCAAGUCGAACGGAAAGGCUCCUGCUUGCAGGGGUACUCGAGUGGCGAACGGGUGAGUAACACGUGGGUGAUCUGCCCUGCACUUCGGGAUAAGCCUGGGAGACUGGGUCUAAUACCGGAUAGGACCACAUUUUGGAUGGUGUGGUGGAAAGUUUUUCGGUGUGGGAUGAGCUCGCGGCCUAUCAUCUUGUUGGUGGGGUAAUGGCCUACCAAGGCGUCGACGGGUAGCCGGCCUGAGAGGGUGUACGGCCACAUUGGGACUGAGAUACGGCCCAGACUCCUACGGGAGGCAGCAGUGGGGAAUAUUGCACAAUGGGCGCAAGCCUGAUGCAGCGACGCCGCGUGGGGGAUGACGGCCUUCGGGUUGUAAACUCCUUUCGCUAGGGACGAAGCGCAAGUGACGGUACCUGGAGAAGAAGCACCGGCUAACUACGUG